rnacentral:lncRNA from 1 species
CUGACACCAAUCAUGAAAACAAUAAGGAAAUACAGUAAAUUUAGCCUUAAACCACCAAAACGAGAGAAGUUUAAUGGCCUCCAACAUUUGAUAAUGAGAACGUUCUUGAUCGCGAAAAAUCCUGUCAUUCCUUUCUUUCCAUAUCUCCCAUACAGUUGCAAACCAAAUCAAAUGCAUAAGAGAGCAUCUUAAUUUUCCGUAACCUGAAGAAGUGCCAAACUGAUAAAAAUGAUCCACAAUGUUACCCGGAUCCGCAGAAUAAACACCAAGCCAAUUCCGAAUAAGCUGCCAAAUAUGACCAAAAAGAGUACAAGAUAAAAACAAAUGAGUCUCGGACUCCU